UGUGCCAUGUCAUAUUUUUUUGUGAAAGUCUUUGUAGAAAUAACAUUUAAGCAAAAUUUAAAAAAUCACUUCUCAAAUAUAGUCUAGGGGAUUCAUAUGAAUACAUAUUAUUUAAAACAAAAAUAUAAAAAUAAAUCUCACAAACAUUUAUUAAAAUCUGACGUGGACACCUUAAGAACAGAAAAAAAUGUCUCAUUAUAUAUAUGAUUUCUUAUACUUUUCAUCUCUCCGAUCCAUCGUUAUAUAUAAAGACUUUUAUUGGUGAAGGAAGAGACAAAAAGAGAGAGAAAAAAAAAGAGAUGAGAGAUGAGUUCUUCACAGGCACAGCUAAGUCAAGCUUUCAUUGUGCUUCUGCUUCUUUGCGUCAUAUUUUGCUUUGCCGAAUCUGCUAUACCUUCUCAUCAACAACCACUUUCAGUCAUCGGGAGAAGGUUGAUGGAUAGAGGGAUAUUUACAGGACCAUCAAGAAGUGGACCUGGCGGUGGUGGUAGCACUCCAGCCCCUUAGCUCUACAUCUAAACCCGUGGACAUCUAGUGGUGUACAUUGUUUAUAUAUUUAUGGCCUGGGUCCCUUAUAUAUUAAUGUAAUGUGUAGCUCUGAGCUCAGAAGUCAAGCUUUUAAUUUCUUUCGAUAUUAUGUAUAUGAUCAGUAUAUGGUAUGUGUUGGUAUAUUAUGCAUGUGAAUGUGUGUGUGUUCUUAAAUUUCUGUUCUCCAAAGUCAACUUUUUAAUUUCUCCAUUUUGUAUAAACUAAAAUGGAUAUUAUAAAAGUGUUGGUUUACCUCAA